UACGUAGGUGGCGAGCGUUGUCCGGAUUUACUGGGCGUAAAGAGCGCGCAGGCGGUCGUUCAAGUCGCGUGUGAAAGCCCCCGGCUCAACUGGGGAGGGUCACGCGAUACUGAUCGACUCGAAGGCAGGAGAGGGAAGUGGAAUUCCCGGUGUAGUGGUGAAAUGCGUAGAUAUCCGGAGGAACACCGGUGGCGAAGGCGGCUUCCUGGACCGACACUGACGCUGAGGCGCGAAAGCUAGGGGAGCAAACGGG
rnacentral:rRNA from 1 species